GGGGGUGCCUGAUGUCUCCGCUCUGUUUUACAGCUACUCCCCUGCAAGCGCUUCCCUCUUCGGCGCCGUUCCGCCUGCGCUCGGCGCCCUCUUCGCGAGCACGAACUACCUGCGGGCACCGGCUCUCUCGUAGGAGGGCGCGCCGGAGGCAAGGAUGUGCUCCAAAGUCAGAAGACAGGGAAAGGAGAAGCAGGAGCCCUGGUGAAAGAGUCUGAAGAUUGUCCUGUGAAGUGUGAUGGGACAGCCUCUUUUCACCUUCUCUGAAAAUGGAGACAGGAGGAACUGUGGGUCUUGCCAAGGUCACAGGAUUGGAAUACAGAGCCAUGCCGCUCCAGGACACUCAAGAUCAUCAGAAGGGGAAGAGCCAAGCAGAAAGGGAAGACGCAGUAGACAUUGACCUGAGGCUGCAGCAGUCAGGGGCCAGGAUGGAGGAGGAGGACUGGGGCAGAGGGCAUGGUGCAGGCUCCACUCCCAUUCCUGCUCCUGUGGGACUUGGCAGGGGACCUGGGGAAACAUGCCCCAACCCAUCCUGCGGAGGUCUUUGCCUUUGACCUGUUGGCCGCCAUUUUGGGCCUUGUCACAUCGUGUGCCUGUUCCGUCCAAGCUGCUCUAACCUGGCCUCCAGCAAACAGAAGCUCUUCGCCAUCCACAUUUCCACCCCGGAGGACCGAGGGCUGCUCGCUGGGAGGUUGCCAAAGCAAGGGGCUCCAGCCUUCUAGGAGUUAACGACUCCCUCUCCCCAGCUGUCCUCCCCUUGGUGCUCCUCUUUCUACCUCCUCCUACUCGCAGCAGGCAGGGCCUGGACCUGGGAGCCAUGCCGCUGUGCUGUUGCCAGGGGAGCCGGGAGCCAGAUCUGAGCUAUGCAGGGAAAAGGCCUGGCCUGUCAAACUGUCUGAGAUGAACCGCCGCCGUCCCCAUGCAGCUGGGCUCAGACGUGUCUCAGCUCUUGUUCUGUGCCUGAGAAUGGCGAAGCCCAGUGAGGUUCAAGGGCAAACUCACUAUUCAUUAGUCAGGGGUUCUUGACGUCCGUCUCUCCCAGGGAUGGGUCCCCCCCUCCGCCUCCCUUUUUCUCUCCCUCCUGUAAUACAUUCCUGGGUGCCUUUGGUGAGGACUGCACACCCUCCUCCUCCUCCUCCUGCCCAACUCUUCUCCAAAAGCCCCUGAAUAAACUCUACCCAAGGAGACCAGGCAGGGCAGAAACAAUGGCCGCAGGAAACCAUUCAGGCGGGACUCCAGCCAUGCUGGCCCGCCCUCCACUCCCAGUGCCCCUGUGGGCCCCACUCCCCUCUGACUCAGGGCACCCCUGGACUACUAGCCCACAUAGGCCUGGAUAGGACAGAGCCACUGGGCACUGCCCUCAGGACAACAGGUCAGUCCAGUGCUACUCGGUGGGCUCCUUGGGUGCCUCCAUGGCCUGUAUCUCACAUAGCUGGCUGUCUUGGUGCCUUUCUCUACCAUCAUGUGUCUAUUCUAAGACACUCUCAAACACUGUUGGUUGGAAAGUGUGAAGUGUAAAGGACACAUAUACUUGGUUAUAAACAAAUUGCACUGCUAGAAAUUUACUAUAUGGUUAACAUGCAAAAGUUCCCAAAGAAGAAUGUACAAGAAUGUUCAUCAGAGCAUUUCUUUUUUAAGAAUGUAAAGAAAUUGAAAUGAACCUAUGGUCCAUUCAUACUGUGAAAUACCAGGCAGCUACAAAAAUUAAUGUGGUAGGUCUCUAUAUAUUAGCUGAUAUGGAAGGCUGGCCAGUGUAUAUUGUUGGGUGAAUAGAAUAAAUUGCAGAACAGGCAAUAGAAUAUGAUCUUAUUUGUGUGUAUUUAAAAGUUGUAAGUAUGCUUAUAUAUGAAGAGAUUCUGGAAGUAUAUAUUAAAAGUCUACCUCUGGGGAGUGGGAAGGGAUGAAUGCACUCUUCCAUUUUCUUUCCACUUUUAUUGAGAAAUGUAAAGAGGCUAUUUAAUAUAGUAGGCUUAACUUCUAUUAACCAACUUGGAGUAGGAGCUCCAAGAGAAUGGUGGUGAGGUUGUAAGAAAAAACAUCCCAGAAACUAUGCCAUUGGCCAUUUUCAGGCCAAACAAUCACAUGUCAUCGUCAUGGCUGUUAUUGUUGUUAAUUAAAAGCCUACCAAGUGCCAGGCUUAGUACUUUGGGGUCUGGCUUAGGUGGGUAUCAUUAUUCCAGUUUCCCCAUGCUGAAGAGUAGUUGACUGGCUUGUCCAAGUUCCUCAGCAGGGAUUGGGUUGUUAGGGAGGAUCCCAGUUCCACUGAGAGUAGACACGUUGCCCCUUCGCCUUCAGGAGCUGCCUGUUUGGGGGGUUGCCUUGGAAGCCCCAGUCAUGUGGCCCCCCGACACCCACCUGGUCAUGAGGUGGAGGGGGGGCAUUGCCCCCUUCUGCCAGUGCCCAAUAGAGGUCUCAUUGUGUUGGGGGCCAUUGGGCUUGGGCCAGCAGGAGGAGUGGGCAGGGCUGUCAAAGGCCUUAUUUGCAUAAGCAGCAUGUGUCCUGAGAGAGAUAUCACCACACGGAAUGUAGAGCGCUUUGCCUUCCCUGUUUACUUCACCCCAGAAAAAGUAAAUGGCCCAGCAAGUGUCUCUGAGGAACAAUACGAGGCUCUAGGAGUGGGAGGCAUGGGUCUGGCUACACAGGAGGCAGGCCAGGACCUUGCCACUGCCACCGGUGGAGCUCUCCAUUGGGCCCCUGAUGGGCCUGGGUGGAGUGGGGGGAAAAGAUGCCAUGGAUCUGGAUCAAGCAGCCACCCAGAGGGCCCUGGGAAAUCCAUGGGGUAGCAGGGUGGUCCCUGGGGCCUGAGCGGCACCUACAGUUAACCCAAAUCAGCUGUGGAGCCUGCAGAGAGAGCAGGAAAGAAGAAUUUAAAAUGGACCACAUGCAGAGGGGUGCAGUGACUCCUCAUAACUUUAUAGGCUGUCGAUAUUAUUGUUACACCCAUUUUACAGAUGAGGACACUGAGGCCCAGAAAAGUUAAGUUAUAGGUCCCAAGUCACACAGCCAGUCAGUGCCAGGACUGAGAUUCAAAACCACGUCUCUUGGACCUCAAGUCUGUUACUCCAAACCCCAAAGAGAUGCUGUUUGGCUUGGCCACUUAGAGGAGGUCCCCAAAGCUGCAACCCCUCCUUGCCUACCCCCAUACAUAGAGAUAUUAACCCCUUCUCUGCAAGGUCACCUCCUCAAAUGGCUCCUUGCCUGGGGUCCUCCCCCAAUUUUACCUAAUGCCAUCUAUCUCCUGCAGUAUGCCUGGCCCUGGACUGGGCAGUGGAGUGGUGGGGAGGAAGAUUGUAAGACUUUGGUUAGUAUAGCCUCUCCUCGGAGUUGUCCAGGGUCAGUAGGGUGGUCCAGAUGGACUUCCUGGGGGUGGUGGCCUGGAGGCAAAGAUAUAGCCCAGCUGGUCAAGACAAGCGUGAGUGAGCAUUGGAGAGUGGGGGCUGGGGACUGGGGAAGGCCCAGGGCUUCCACCUGGUGGGAAAUGGGAAGUGGGAGUGGGUGGGGUCAGAAGGUCUAAAUGCUGCAGCUUCCCAGUCCCCUGGCUGCAGGUCACCUACAGUUCUGCAGAUUCUGCUUCUCCCCUGACCUGAAGGGACCUUACAGGAAGAUGAGGGCACUCCUGGGCUUGCCCCAGUGCUUCCCAGAGGCUGGCCUGAUGAGGACCUCAGGGAAAGCUGAAGCUGCAGAAGCAGAACUGGGAGAGCAGAGAUCUCACUCAGGCAGCUGGAAUCAUUGGGACUUUUCCAAGGCCAGUGGGUCCCCCUGGAUGGUCCUGCGGGAGGACUAGGGCAGGUUCUGAGAGAGAGGCCUCUUCCCAUCCUGUAAACCUCACCUCCCU